rnacentral:lncRNA from 1 species
GCUUCCAGCCCUAAAAUCAUGUGGUUUCAUGAUCAGCCCUGGGACCCAGCCAUAAGAUCUAAACGAGCAAGGGUGGUAAGCCCAGGGGCUUCGGACACCAUUCUUGGCCAGAGUGCCACGAUGGAGCAGAACAGCUCCUACUUGCAGGAGGGAAGAAAAGAAAAGCUACAGGAAGUGGAUCAGACUCCUGUUGCUGGGGCUGGAGCCCAGGGGGACAGGUCACCUGAGGAUAGCUGGGCCAGGUGGAGGAAGGUAUCCGCAGUCCAAGACGGCUCCCCACCCGGGUACCUCUGACCACCCUUCUUCCCGCCCAGGUACUACUACAAACGGGAAAUCCUAGAGCGGGUGGAUGGCCGGCGGCUGGUCUACAAGUUUGGCAAAAACUCUAGUGGCUGGAAGGAGGAAGAAGUUGCCGGGAGUCGGAACUGAGGGUCGGAACGAGACCCAGGACCAAACGCAAGGACUUGAGGCCUGCGGCCCCUCCUGGGAAGACCAGCAGGUCCCAGCAUCUGGGCAAUGCUCCGGCUGUGCUGCGGAGACAAGCUGUGAGGCUCUGGUAUCCUGUCAGCCACCGUCCUCGGAUCCGAGGCCUGUGGCCUCUCCUCUCUGCCCUCUUCUUGGAAUUACAAGCCCUGGGGUUUGAGGUGACUCGUCUUGCUGACUUGUCCGCAAGUGUAGCUUCUUUUACCUGGUGCCUCCUCAGACCCAACCCAGACACCGGCUACGGACAGCACCUUCCUCCUCCAGAUGCCCGGACUGAGC